UACUUGGUUGAUCCUGCCAAGGAAGCACACUUAGGUCAUAGAUUAAGCCAUGCAAGUGUUAGUUCAGGUAACGAAACUGCGAAUAGCUCAUUAAUACGCUCAGAAUCUAUUUGGCGGCGACCAACAGGUCUUAAAUGGAUAGCAGCAGCAACUCUGGUGCUAAUACAUGCGAUUGUUUUCCUCAGAUGUGAAUUAUGGAGGAAAAGUUGACCUCAUCAGAGGCACGCCAUUCGACUGGAGUGACUAUCAGCUUGUACUUAGGGUCUUUACCUAGGUAGGCUAU
rnacentral:ncRNA from 1 species